rnacentral:lncRNA from 1 species
AGGUCUGGAACCCAGGUCUUCCUCACUCUGAGACUGGCUCUCUAUUCACUAUACCUGCCUGCCUCUGUGGCAUUUAGGGAAGGCAGUGGGAGGGUUAGAAAUGAAUUCCCAGAGGAAGGGGCCUGUGUCCCAAAAGUAGACCAGACAGGAGACAUCAUGGGAUCUACUUGCACAAAGGGUAACCCAGAGGAUGUCUCCUGACUGGGCGUGGAAAUAGCUCAUGACCAGCAAAUCUGAUAUAAUAGCUAAGGUGGGGUACCUCCUUGAGGAUCCCACAACCUAAUUCAAACUCUUAUCCCCACUU